rnacentral:rRNA from 1 species
AUUGAACGCUGGCGGAAUGCUUUACACAUGCAAGUCGAACGGUAGAGGGGGCAACCCCUUGAGAGUGGCGAACGGGUGAGUAAUAUAUCGGAACGUGCCCAGUCGUGGGGAUAACGUAGCGAAAGUUACGCUAAUACCGCAUACGAUCUAAGGAUGAAAGCGGGGGAUCGCAAGACCUCGCGCGAUUGGAGCGGCCGAUAUCAGAUUAGGUAGUUGGUGAGGUAAAGGCUCACCAAGCCAACGAUCUGUAGCUGGUCUGAGAGGAUGAUCAGCCACACUGGGACUGAGACACGGCCCAGACUCCUACGGGAGGCAGCAGUGGGGAAUAUUGGACAAUGGGCGAAAGCCUGAUCCAGCAAUGCCGCGUGAGUGAUGAAGGCCUUAGGGUUGUAAAGCUCUUUUACCCGGGAUGAUAAUGACAGUACCGGGAGAAUAAGCUCCGGCUAACUCCGUGCCAGCAGCCGCGGUAAAGUGACUA